AUGUUCGGCAAGAUGGGCCUGCCGGGCGGUGCGAAAACCAAGACCGGCGCAUGGUCGACCUCCGCGCAGAUUCUCGACGAGCUUGCCGAGGCCGGCCAUGAAUUCCCGAAGCAUGUUCUGGAAUGGCGGCAGGUCACCAAGCUGAAAUCAACCUACACCGACUCGCUGCCGGAAUACGUCAAUCCGCAGACCCAUCGCGUGCACACGACCUACGCACUGGCCGCGA
rnacentral:misc_RNA from 1 species